GUAAUGUAUCUGCUGAUAUGGUGCCAGAGAGGGUGCCAUCAACGGAAGCUGGAGUAGCCCCCAAGCUAACCGCACAGGCUCCGUCGGCUACCACGCUGCCAGUUACUGACUAGGCAGUCCUGGUGUUGCCCGCCGGAGUAGCGGGUGUUGCAAAGGUGUCGCCAGUAGUCGCUACUGGUUCUUUGUUGUCCAGUGUAAUCGCUAGUGGUAAGCGUUUUGUCCCGACUAGUUUCGUUUGUAUGAGUUGUAUUGUAGUCUUGCUUCUGUUUCCUAGGUUUUGGCAAGAAGACAACGCCGGCAG
rnacentral:lncRNA from 1 species